GUGACAUUGCAGGCGGGUUGCAGAUCCGCAGCGAAGAGACCGUGUUCACGCAUGCACACAUGGAUGCACACACGCACGCCCGGGUGCACACCCUACGGCCCUGAUUAAGAAGAGAAAAACAACCAGGAAUUUAGGAAUACAGGCAAUGCUGAGCAUCUCAAAGUGCGGUUCAAACUUGGGCAAGCCUCGCCUCUUCACCAAGGACAGGAUGGUCCUACACAAGGAACGGGAGGAAGAAGGACUUUGGAGCUCCCGGGGCAGCAGGCUGAGGGAGGUCACUACGGGGAAGGUGCCUUUGGCCAAGCCGCUUCCCUCGCCAGGCCUCGGUUUCUCCGUCUGUGGAAUGGGGAUCGUGCCCAUAGGAGCUGGUCUCCAGGAGCUGCCAAAGGAUGUUGCUUGCUUCGCGUAAUUGCGUUCACCGAAUGUGGCUUUCCCUGAGUGUCUUCUUAUCGCUCUGCGAGGGAAUGAAGCUGUCUCUCUUGGAUGGGGCUCUCUGUGCUGCUGGACCUGCCUCUGCCACAACACGUAUCCUGUAUGACAAUCGACAGUGUGGCCGCUUCAAAACGCUCAUCCCUCUGCUUGAAGGACGUCUGGCUUGUGGUGCAAAUGAUAAUGUGUGGCUUUUAAGACUGCGUCAACCGUGGCCAUGCAGCUUCUGCUGUGAUCUCUAGAAGUAUUGCUCUAGGAGCCCUAAGCCAUCCUGAGGGACAUCUAAGCACCCUGUGACUUCCCUGCUCUAGAGGCACAUGUUAAAGGCUCUGGGUGACAGUCUCAGUUCAGCCUUUUCUUUAAUGCUAGCAGCAUGGGCACCAGAACUGGGAGUGAAGAAACCACUGAGGAAAUGGAUCCUUCAGUCCGCUUUCAUUCAAGUCGCCCCAGAGGAAGCCUCAGAUAUCAGGGAGCAGAGACAAGCCAUUCUGACCCUGCUUUUUCUGUAUUGCUGGCCCGUACACUCCACCACCCUCCUAGUUGUUGCUCGGCGCCUCUAUGUUUCAGAGUGGUAAACCACGUUGCGGUAGAUAACCAUAGCAACUGGCUUGUGUGUCUGCCUUUUCCCACUAGAUUGUGAACUCUUUGAGGUCAAGACUGCAUCCAACGCCUCUUCCUAUUACUUCUUCCCAGCACAGGGCUGACCCAGGAUUGGUGCUUCUCAGGGUGUGUUGAGUAAAGGAAUAAAAUCAUGUAUGACCUGUCCCACUAACAUGGCAGCCGUGUGCCAUCUUGAACCAUGGGGAGGGAUACGCCCACACCCGGAGCUCCAGGAUUUUCUUUUUAGGGAUUUAUCCUUUAGGUACCCGUUUACACUCCCAAAGGAGUACACACAACGAGGUUCACCUCAGUGCUCUUUGUAAGAGCCAAAGUAUCCAUGAAAUCAUUUAUAAAAAGUGUUAACAGGAACGGGAAUUGUGUGUCUGGGAAUGGAGCUGAAUUUUCACGAGCUAUACGAUAAUACUUUCUGAAUUUUGAAGUAUGUAUUCUAUUACCUCUUCUAA